rnacentral:rRNA from 1 species
CCUACGGGGGGCAGCAGUGGGGGAUAUUGCACAAUGGGGGAAACCCUGAUGCAGCGACGCCGCGUGUGGGAAGACGGUCCUCUGGAUUGUAAACCACUGUCCCCAGGGACGAAGAUGACGGUACCUGGGGAGGAAGCUCCGGCUAACUACGUGCCAGCAGCCGCGGUAAUACGUAGGGAGCGAGCGUUGUCCGGAAUUACUGGGUGUAAAGGGAGCGUAGGCGGGACUGCAAGUUGGGUGUCAAAUCUACCGGCUCAACCGGUAGCCGCACUCAAAACUGCAGUUCUUGAGGGAAGUAGAGGCAGGCGGAAUUCCUAGUGUAGCGGUGAAAGGCGUAGAUAUUAGGAGGAACACCAGUGGCGAAGGCGGCCUGCUGGGCUUUUACUGACGCUGAGGCUCGAAAGUGUGGGGAGCAAACAGGAGUAGAUACCCUUGUAGUC